CAACAACAAAAACGAUUAGAAUUUAAAAGUAAGUAUUGCACUCAAAAAGGUUUCCCUCCCCCUCCACCAAUACUCUGUCAGGCACCCUAAACAAAGGGAGUGAGCUCCCAGCCAGUCAGACAGCUUUGAGCCCAGUCACCCCUCCUCCCCUCUGGGCUGCUAGUAAACCUUCACACAGGCAGGCAGGCAGGCCAUCCCUUGGCUGCCACAGCUGCUGUACCGGUUAGGCCUACCCUUGGAAGAGCGACAGCCCCAAACUGCCCCCCACAACACACAGACACUGAAAAGGAGGCAGGGAGCAGAGCACUCUUUCGUUCUGUCUCUAUCUCUCUAACAUAUAGUAUAGCUACAGGACCACAACUAAUACCUCCUGGAAUAUUUAUCCAUAUUUACUAGAGAUGAACAGAGAAGAACUGCAAAACAAAAUAAACAAACUGGGACACAAUAAUCAUCAGCCCAAUUUCUGCUGACCCAGCAGUAACUCCAUCGCCUCAGCAACUCCUCUUCUCAGACAGACAGACAGACAGACAGGCAGGCAG